AUUGAACGCUGGCGGCAUGCCUUACACAUGCAAGUCGAACGGCAGCACGGGGGCAACCCUGGUGGCGAGUGGCGAACGGGUGAGUAAUGCAUCGGAACGUACCCGGAAGUGGGGGAUAACGUAGCGAAAGUUACGCUAAUACCGCAUAUUCUGUGAGCAGGAAAGAGGGGGAUCGCAAGACCUCUUGCUUUCGGAGCGGCCGAUGUCGGAUUAGCUAGUUGGUGGGGUAAAGGCCUACCAAGGCGACGAUCCGUAGCGGGUAUGAGAGGAUGGUCCGCCACACUGGGACUGCGACACGGCCCAGACUCCUACGGGAGGCAGCAGUUGGGAAUUUUGGACAAUGGGGGCAACCCUGAUCCAGCCAUGCCGCGUGAGUGAAGAAGGCCUUCGGGUCGUAAAGCUCUUUCGGCCGGGACGAAAUCGCAUCUCCUAAUACGGGGUGUGGAUGACGGUACCGGAAUAAGAAGCACCGGCUAACUACGUGCCAGCAGCCGCAGUAAGAC
rnacentral:rRNA from 1 species